rnacentral:lncRNA from 1 species
GAAAGCCACAGUUUGUGUGAAUCGCAGAGAGCAAAAUGGCAAACUGAAGACACAAUCUCAUGACAAUAGAGACGUAAUAGACAUCUUUUCACCGAAUAAGUUAAAGAGGAGCUCUUUCUGAGAUGAAGAGAACUCUCAAUGUCAAGAUUUCAACAAGAAGAGAAUGGAAUACACGAUACGGACAUCCAUAAAAAUUCUUCAGAGGGUGUUUUACUACUGAGCUGCAAAGGGAAAAACUUAAAAUGGAUAUGAAAAGUGAAGAAAGUGAUCAUAGGAGAAAACCAUUUCAGAUGACAAGAGCACCUCAAAGGCAGCAGCCUCAAGAAGCAGCCAUGGCCCCAGAGUUGUCCCACGGAUGCAGAAAACUUAAUGGAGGAGGCUGAGGUCAGAAUGGGAAGAGUUUUUAAAAAGUAAAAAGGGGAGCUAAUAUGUGAGGAACUGAUUGCUGUGCAUUAUUUUCCGCUGAACAGACCACAGACCUUCUUUUAACUUCUAAUCUCAAGCACAUAGCAGCUGUUGUUUUCAUAUUAAAGAUCAGUAAGUGUUUGUUGAAUGAAUGUAUAAAUUCUUCC